AGUGAACGCUGGCGGUAGGCCUAACACAUGCAAGUCGAACGGCAGCACAGUAAGAGCUUGCUCUUACGGGUGGCGAGUGGCGGACGGGUGAGGAAUACAUCGGAAUCUACUUUUUCGUGGGGGAUAACGUAGGGAAACUUACGCUAAUACCGCAUACGACCUACGGGUGAAAGCAGGGGAUCUUCGGACCUUGCGCGAUUGAAUGAGCCGAUGUCGGAUUAGCUAGUUGGCGGGGUAAAGGCCCACCAAGGCGACGAUCCGUAGCUGGUCUGAGAGGAUGAUCAGCCACACUGGAACUGAGACACGGUCCAGACUCCUACGGGAGGCAGCAGUGGGGAAUAUUGGACAAUGGGCGCAAGCCUGAUCCAGCCACACCGCGUGGGUGAAGAAGGCCUUCGGGUUGUAAAGCCCUUUUGUUGGGAAAGAAAAGCAGCAGGUUAAUACCCCGCUGUUCUGACGGUACCCAAAGAGUAAGCACCGGCUAACUUCGUG
rnacentral:rRNA from 1 species